GGGGAGACAAGCAAUAAAUGAGGGGUAUAGGUUGUUCAGCCCAUCUUUUAGCAAGUUUUAGCAACCAAAAACUUGCUAAAGUGCUAAACUUUAGCAACUCAACUUUAGCAAGUUUUAGCAAGGGUGUUUGGCAGUUUAGCAGCUAAAAGUUGCUAAACUUUAGCAACUAAAGUUUAGCAACUAAAGUUUAGCAAGGUGGAACCAAACACCCCCCUAAUAUGAACCCAAAUAAUGAUCCUUGACCUAGAACACUAACGGGUGUUUGGAUUUUUAGUUCGGAUUAAAAUUCAUG
rnacentral:lncRNA from 1 species